CGUCGAGUAACCCCAGAGUGCAGUCUGGACGAUGGGGCGGGGCGACACUUCGAGGCGGAGCGACACGUGUCGCCCCGCCCAUUUUUGUUUUCCCCGCCUUUGACAUUUUCCUCCGAGCCAGCAGGGGGCAGUUUGCGUUGAAACAAACAGAACGGUGGCAACUACAGCAGCAGAGUAAUAACGCUAUUCCGUUGAUUGCUUGAGGUGAGUAAAAGUGCUUGUGUAAAUAUCUUAUAAUAUGAAAUGCAAUGUUCGAUCAUUUAUUUAUCCAUGGUACGUUCAAUUUUAAUAAUUAUUGUUAAUAAUUGUUAUAAUUUGCUAAUUUUAUUGUUCUUUGUGGAUUGUAACAGUACACUCUGUACAUGGCUUUAGUUCAUUCGAUUUUACAGAGGAUGACAUGAUCAGGAGAUGGUGGUGUUCUGUUCUCCUGGACAGCUUUACUCCGCAAAUAGCUCAACCACUGAGGGGAGGAACUUCACCAUUCACCAUGUCUUCAGGCAGAGUCCAGCAAAGCAGCUUCCACUGGAAAUCCUCAGGGAAGUUAUUUUGUCGGCGGGUGACUCUGCAUAUUUGACACUUUCUCUGGUUUGCAGAUGGUUUAGGGAUGUGCUCCGAAGUUUUUCGGAAAGCGGCACAGUUUGCCUGGCUAGACAUUGUGGCCAACUGGAAGAAUUGUACUCCUGUCUCAUGACCGGAACGAGUUCAGACGGAUGUACAGCAUCAGGGAAUGGUUGCAGUGCAGAGCCCUUUUCAAGUUUAACCCACCAGGGUACCGGGAAGAGACCGGCGUGGUGAUCUUCUGGGCUUUUGUUUACACAGGAUUUUGUUCCAAGGACUGUUUUUUUGUUUUGUUUGUUUUUUGUUUGCGGCAUGAAACACAUUUGUGUGUUAAGUUCAUUGAAGGGAAAUAGAGAAUGGACUGAGAUCAACUGGUUUUGAUGUAUUAAUUGAUGUAAUUUAAAGUUAAACUUCGCAGUGUAUAAUGUUUUAAUAAAAAAGCUAUGGAAAACACGUGCAUGACAACAGGUUUCAGUCAUUUACAUCAGUCUAUCAUUCUUUAAGGUUUCUCAUGUUUGAUAACAUCAUUUGCUAUGCAUUGCUCAUAAUGGAUUCUUGAUUUAGUUGUGACAGGAUUGUGAGGAUUAAUGAGGUUUUCAGUAGUGCAGUUCAGAAAACAAAUAACAGAAAGUAACAAGUGUUUUUGGGCAAGUUCUUUAGAACCUGUAUAGUUCCUUCCUUGCAAAAAGUAACCAUGGAUUUAUUGUAGUAAAAUAUUUGUUGGCAUAUUAAUUACUGUGAGCUGUAAUUAUAAAAACACCAUAGUUUUACUAUAGUUACUGUAGCAGAACCAUGGUAAAUUUUCGUAGGGGCCAAGGGAAUGUUCAGAAUAUUAUUGGUGACGUUCAGAGACUGGUGACAAUUUGUUACACACACAACGCACACACA